rnacentral:rRNA from 1 species
AGUCGAGCGAGCGGUUUCGAUGAAGUUUUCGGAUGGAUUUGAAAUCGACUUAGCGGCGGACGGGUGAGUAACGCGUGGGUAACCUGCCUUACACUGGGGGAUAACAGUUAGAAAUGACUGCUAAUACCGCAUAAGCGCACAGGGCCGCAUGGUCUGGUGUGAAAAACUCCGGUGGUGUAAGAUGGACCCGCGUCUGAUUAGGUAGUUGGUGGGGUAACGGCCCACCAAGCCGACGAUCAGUAGCCGACCUGAGAGGGUGACCGGCCACAUUGGGACUGAGACACGGCCCAAACUCCUACGGGAGGCAGCAGUGGGGAAUAUUGGACAAUGGGCGAAAGCCUGAUCCAGCGACGCCGCGUGAGUGAAGAAGUAUUUCGGUAUGUAAAGCUCUAUCAGCAGGGAAGAAAAUGACGGUACCUGACUAAGAAGCCCCGGCUAACUACGUGCCAGCAGCCGCGGUAAUACGUAUGGGGCAAGCGUUAUC